GCUUAAAAAGUGCUAUCUUGAAGUAAAAUUCAAAGACCACCUGCAUCAGAAUCACCUGUGCUGGGGGUUCAGGCACCUGUACUUAUCAAAGUCCCCAGGUGAUUUUUAUUACCUACGUCCAUCCAGGUGUAGGGCAUUUUCUUUGCAGUGACCUAAGGGUAUUGGUGCUCCUGUUUUCUUUCCUACUUUAAACUCAGCUAGUAGCCCGAGGCGCUCUUGCAGGUGAGCAGGAUACUCUUUUGUUCUGUGAGGGGAGGAGGCUCUGGGGAAUCCUGCCAGUUUGUUGUGAGGAAGGACGACAGGAAGAAUUUACCUGGAGAAAAGAUGCUCAGAAUCCUCCUAUGAAUCUAAGUGACCCUCCUCCAGGGAUUGUGAUACCUCUAUCUAAGUACACUUGGCAUUGGGCUUCAGAAGACAUUGCUCAGUUGAAUGAAGGGUGUGUGCAAGAGACAAAGAAAAUAUUCAGAAGGAUCGAUGACAACAGCAUUUUCUAGCAGGCCUGAUUGGAAGAAAAAAUGCUACUGAAAUAGUCUGAUAACUUCUCUCCAGGGAAAGGAACGCCCCACAUUUCAGUAAUUCAAGGAAGCUGUUUCCAGCUUGGAAAGAAGCCACGUCUACCUCUCACUGCCCGAGGAAAGAGCCUCAGAAUGGGAAGUCUCCAGGGGCUUUGAGAUUUAGGAGCAACAUCAGAAGUGCCUGGGGCUAGCCUCAGAGGAGACCAGACUUUGCCCUUUUCCCCUCAUGAGCAGACAAGACAGUCUUUUAAUUGCAUCCAUAAAGGGAAAUAUGGAGUCCA